rnacentral:lncRNA from 1 species
UUUACAAUUAAUAAUCAGUUCAUUUCAUAACAUUGGUUUACAAACAAACCCGGAUUAUUAAACUAACCAUGUCUAAACCAAACCUAAUAAACCAACCAAUACUAAACCUAAUCUACGCCACUUUGUUGUCGCCUUCCUCUUCCAUCUUCUUCGUCUUCCCUCCUUACGUCUCUGUCUUCUCCCUCUUUCUCUUUUUAUUCUUCUUGCUCGGCUCAUCUACACCAGCACAUCUUCUUCAUAUCCGGCUUCUUCCUGUAAUAAGAACAAAAAAAUCAAAAAUCAAAUUAAUUUCGAAAUCUAAAACUUAAACUCCAAACUUUUAAACAAAUCAGAAACUGGUCACAUUGAAACUCAGAUCCUAAACAGCUCAUAUUAAUUUCGAAUUGUCUUAAACUUAACAGUAUCCAUUGAAAUAAGAUCAAUCAUAAACUGAAACAAAUUAUCAAUCUUCUCAAACCCAAACAGAAACAGAUAAGACAGAUUCUACACAAGCAAAUACAGAUCUGAUUUUUCUGCAAGAAUAUGAUAACUCUAAACUCAGAAAGUUUCAGACUGUUUACCCUUCCGUUGGAAGAAGCUUCACACCGGACAACGAACGGACGAUGCUCAAGCCUCUAUGUGAGCCUCGCGCUCUGGUUCAGUUUCAGUGAUGAGAGAAAGAAGAAAAUUUUUGAGAAGGAGUCGACCAUAAUCAUCAUAGAGAAGACGAGAUCUUUACUUUCGAAAAGGAGUCGAUAUGCAUCGCUUACUCUCUCUCUCUCUCUCUCUCUCUCUCUCUCUCUCUCUCUCUCUCUCUCUAUCCCUCUC